UGGCGCGUGGCUCAACGGCAGAGCACCUGACUCUGGAUCAGGGGAUUCCAGGUUCGAAUCCUGGCUCGCCAGCCA
rnacentral:tRNA from 2 species